rnacentral:rRNA from 1 species
GACGAACGCUGGCGGCGUGCUUAACACAUGCAAGUCGAACGAUGAUGCCCAGCUUGCUGGGUUGAUUAGUGGCGAACGGGUGAGUAACACGUGAGUAACCUGCCCAUCACUCUGGGAUAACUCCGGGAAACCGGUGCCAAUACCGGGUAUGACUCCGAUCCGCAUGGGUACGGGGCGGAAAGAUUGAUCGGUGGUGGAUGGACUCGCGGCCUAUCAGCUUGGUGGUGGGGUAAUGGCCUACCAAGGCGGCGACGGGUAGCCGGCCUGAGAGGGUGUGCGGCCACACUGGGACUGAGACACGGCCCAGACUCCUACGGGAGGCAGCAGUGGGAAAUAUUGCACAAUGGGCGGAAGCCUGAUGCAGCGACGCCGCGUGCGGGAUGACGGCCUUCGGGUUGUAAACCGCUUUCAGCUCUGACGAAGCUUUUGUGACGGUAGGAGCAGAAGAAGCACCGGCUAACUACGUGCCAGCCGCCGCGGUAACAC